UAGAAAAAAUAGAAAAAGUUAACAACACAAUCAAAACAAGUGAAAAAAUAUCCUCAACAAAACGAACAAAAAAUGCAAGGUGUUGUAUUUACCGACAAAACGAAAAAAAUUAAUGCUAAAAAUAUGUCUUUCUACUUGCCAGAACUGCGAAAAUAUCAAAACGAAAUGUAUGAAGAGUAUUCCAUGUUAAAAGGGAUCGAAUUAAAGACCACUGAUGACUAUUUAACAACGAACGGUGGUAAAAUAAAUAAAUUCCAUGCCUGUCGAUUCGAGUACGAAAUUGCUAAUUCAACAGAAAUCGAAAAUGUGCUUAUCGACGACUAGGUAAAAAAUAUAUCAUCGACUCGUCAAGCCGUUCGUAUUUUAUUUUUGAAUUAGCAAAACAACUUUUUCCUGUAAAAAACUAAGAACCUUUAACUUCUAUUUAUCAUUUUUUGGUCUUUUCAUUUUUUUUACAUUUGGUCUUUACAUUGGUCACAGUUUUAGUUUUUAUUAGAUAAUGAAUGACCGAAAAACGGACUAGUUUUUUUGUUUUAGAGUCUGAAUUGCGUGCAGCAUAUGCAAGCGAGGUGUUUGUUAUACGAUAUCUUUGAAAAUACAAAAAUCUAAAAAGCCAA